rnacentral:rRNA from 1 species
GACGAACGCUGUCGGCGUGCUUAACACAUGCAAGUCGAACGGAAAGGCCCUGCUUUUGUGGGGUGCUCGAGUGGCGAACGGGUGAGUAACACGUGAGUAACCUGCCCUUGACUUUGGGAUAACUUCAGGAAACUGGGGCUAAUACCGGAUAGGAGCUCCUGCUGCAUGGUGGGGGUUGGAAAGUUUCGGCGGUUGGGGAUGGACUCGCGGCUUAUCAGCUUGUUGGUGGGGUAGUGGCUUACCAAGGCUUUGACGGGUAGCCGGCCUGAGAGGGUGACCGGCCACAUUGGGACUGAGAUACGGCCCAGACUCCUACGGGAGGCAGCAGUGGGGAAUAUUGCACAAUGGGCGGAAGCCUGAUGCAGCAACGCCGCGUGCGGGAUGACGGCCUUCGGGUUGUAAACCGCUUUCGCCUGUGACGAAGCGUGAGUGACGGUAAUGGGUAAAGAAGCACCGGCUAACUACGUGCCAGCAGCCGCGGUGAUACGUAGGGUGCGAGCGUUGUCCGGAUUUAUUGGGCGUAAAGGGCUCGUAGGUGGUUGAUCGCGUCGGAAGUGUAAUCUUGGGGCUUAACCCUGAGCGUGCUUUCGAUACGGGUUGACUUGAGGAAGGUAGGGGAGAAUGGAAUUCCUGGUGGAGCGGUGGAAUGCGCAGAUAUCAGGAGGAACACCAGUGGCGAAGGCGGUUCUCUGGGCCUUUCCUGACGCUGAGGAGCGAAAGCGUGGGGAGCGAACAGGCUUAGAUACCCUGGUAGUCCACGCUGUAAACGGUGGGUACUAGGUGUGGGGUCCAUUCCACGGGUUCCGUGCCGUAGCUAACGCUUUAAGUACCCCGCCUGGGGAGUACGGCCGCAAGGCUAAAACUCAAAGGAAUCGACGGGGCCCCGCACAAGCGGCGGAGCAUGCGGAUUAAUUCGAUGCAACGCGUAGAACCUUACCUGGGUUUGACAUGGAUCGGGAGUGCUCAGAGAUGGGUGUGCCUCUUUUGGGGUCGGUUCACAGGUGGUGCAUGCCUGUCGUCAGCUCGUGUCGUGAGAUGUUGGGUUAAGUCCCGCAACGAGCGCAACCCUUGUUCACUGUUGCCAGCACGUUAUGGUGGGGACUCAGUGGAGACCGCCGGGGUCAACUCGGAGGAAGGUGGGGAUGACGUCAAGUCCUCAUGCCCCUUAUGUCCAGGGCUUCACGCAUGCUACAAUGGCUGGUACAGAGAGUGGCGAGCCUGUGAGGGUGAGCGAAUCUCGGAAAGCCGGUCUCAGUUCGGAUUGGGGUCUGCAACUCGACCUCAUGAAGUCGGAGUCGCUAGUAAUCGCAGAUCAGCAACGCUGCGGUGAAUACGUUCCCGGGGCU